rnacentral:misc_RNA from 1 species
UAUGAAACCAGUCUAUAUAAUACCUGCUGCGUACAUUUUGUUUGAGAUUGGAGAAGGCGCCUGAAGAAAAUUUGUUAAAGUUAAUAAUGGGGGAUACACAAUAUGGUUAUGCUGGACCAUCAGCUGGAGGUCAAGCUGGAUACAGCAACACUACUGGUUACAGUGGUGCAGGUGGAGGGGCUGCUGAUGCCAGUGGUUACUCACAGGCUUCGUAUGGACAGUCGGGUUACUCCGGCCAGUCGUAUGGUGGCUAUGAUCAGACUUCCUAUUCACAGAGUGGAGGGCAAGGCCAAGUAGCACAAGGACAGUAUGGACAAACAGGCUAUGGACAAGGAUAUGAUCAAUCUGGCCAAGCCAGCCAACAAGCUUAUGGUCAAGGUCAGGGAUAUAGUCAGUCCACUGGAGAUGCAUCUGCAUAUGGUCAGCAGUCUGCUGGAUAUUCACAGCAGCAGUCAGGUUAUGGUCAAGGACAAAGCAACCAGAGUUACGGACAGAGUGGUAAUUACGGGCAGCAAGGUUAUAACGCACAGCCUCAGGGAGGUAGCAGCGGAUAUUCCAGCCAGACAUCUGGUGGAUACGGUAGUGGUGGCUCGCAGGGAGGUUACAGCGGCGGUGGCUCAGGCUCAGGCUCAGGCUCACAGGGAGGUUAUGGAGGAGGCUCACAUGGUGGUUAUGGAGGUGGAUCUCAGAGUAGCUAUGGAGGUGGGGGUGGAGCACCACAGGGAGGUGGUUCACAGGGUGGAUACGGCGGUGGUUCAGGAAGUGGUGGUGGUGGUAGUGGCGGGGGAAGCGGCGGUGGAAGCUAUGGAGGUAGUUCUUAUAGUCAAAGAAGCGGAAGUGGCAGUGGUGGUGGUGGUGGUAGUUAUGACGGAGGUAGCCGAGAUGGUGGUGGUGGUGGUGUCGGCGGCGGCAGCCGUGGAGGGGGAAGUCGUGGUGGUAGCGGUGGUGGCGGAUUCAGUGGCGGCGGCCGCGGAGGUUUCAACAAAGGUUAUGGAAGUGGUGGGAGCUCUAGUGGAGGAGGACGUGAAAUGGAAACCCAGCAGGACACUAUCUUCGUGUCGGGCAUGGGAGAUCAGGUGGAAGAAGAUGCUGUGGUCACGCACUUCGGCAGUAUCGGUGUCAUCAAGACAGACAAGAGGUCUGGCAAGCCCAAGGUGUGGAUCUACAAGGACAAGAUGACUGGCACACCCAAGGGGGAGGCUACAGUCACAUUUGAUGACCCAGAUACAGCAAAGGCUGCCAUUGACUGGUUCAAUGGAAAGGACUUCAAAGGCAACACAAUAAAAGUUGAACUUGCUCAGAGACCUGUGAGUCAGUUUGGAACCAGCCGAGGAGGAAGUGGUGGAGGUAGAGGUGGAGGAAGAGGUGGAUUUGGAGGUGGUGGCGGAGGAGGUCGUGGGGGUGGUAGAGGACGAGGGGGUGGUCAGGGAGGUGACAGACAGCAGGGAGACUGGGACUGCCCUAACCCUGACUGCAGUAACAAUAACUUUGGAUGGCGGAAUGAAUGUAAUCUUUGUAACACACCCAAGCCAGAUGGACUUGAUGAUGGUGGUACGUGGAGGUGGAGGUGGAGGCGGAGGCGGAGGCGGAGGCGGAGGCCGUGGUAGAGGCCGUGGAGGAUAUGACAGAGGUGGGCGUGGUGGGUAUGACCGUGGGGGUCGUGGUGGUUACGACAGAGGAGGCCGUGGCGGGUAUGGUCGGGGAGGAGACAGAGGACGCGACGGGGGUAGCAGACAAAUGGACCGUGGAGACCGAAGACCGAAGCCCUAUUAAGACCUGGAAUAAUCUCAUCACUCGCUGUUACGUGUCUUGUGUCUUUACCUGUAUUGUUUUUAUUGUAUUAUCUGUUUUACUAGAUAUCAUUUUGCAUA